AUCUUUGCGCAGGGGCAUAAUCACAACCAAUGCAGUUUUACUCAGGUUGCGAUUAUUUCUAGUUGAAAACUUUAACCAAUUAACACCAUGAGGACAUGAAAUGUAGUAGUAAAUAUGAAACAUAUAAGAUUUAAAUAU